GAAGAGCGUAUGUGUUGGGAUCAGAUCAGUUGUGAUUUUAUCAGCUUCGCCGAUCAACGAGACAGAGCGAAGAACUCGAUUCGGUAAUUGCAAUUUGGAUGUUGCUUUUGUCUCUGUCGUUUUCUUUUUCUUCAAAAUAGAGAGAUGGGCUUUUAUGGGUAUUUAGAGAGAGAAUCUUAGGAUUUUUAGAGAGAGAAUCUUAGG
rnacentral:lncRNA from 1 species